CUUCGGGGAAUGAGUAAAGUGGCGCACGGGUGAGUAACGCGUAGAUAAUCUACCCUAGUGUCCGGGACAACAUCGGGAAACUGGUGCUAAUACCGGGUAAUGUCCAUUGGAUUGCGAGAUUGUGAAGGAAAGGUGGGGACCUUCGGGCCUUAAUGCUGCCACGUAAGGAUGAGUCUGCGUACCAUUAGCUAGUUGGUGGGGUAAUGGCCUACCAAGGCGACGAUGGUUAGCGGGUCUGAGAGGAUGAUCCGCCACACUGGCACUGGAACACGGGCCAGACUCCUACGGGAGGCAGCAGUGAGGAAUUUUGCACAAUGGGGGCAACCCUGAUGCAGCGACGCCGCGUGAGUGAUGAAGGCCUUCGGGUCGUAAAGCUCUGUCAAUAGGGAAGAACUGUUUAUUGGAUAAUACCCGAUAAAUUUGACGGUACCUAUAAAGGAAGCACCGGCUAAAUCCGUGCCAGCAGCCGCGGUAAUACGGAUGGUGCGAGCGUUGUUCGGAAUUACUGGGCGUAAAGGGCGCGUAGGCGGCGUGUCAAGUCAGAUGUGAAAGGCCACGGCUCAACCGUGGACGUGCAUCUGAAACUGUCAUGCUUGAGUACUGGAGGGGAGUGUGGAAUUCCUGGUGUAGAGGUGAAAUUCGUAGAUAUCAGGAGGAAUACCGGUGGCGAAGGCGACACUCUGGACAGAUACUGACGCUGAGGCGCGAAAGCGUGGGGAGCAAACAGGAUUAGAUACCCUGGUAGUCCACGCCGUAAACGAUGUGCACUAGGUGUAGGGGGUAUUGACCCCUUCU
rnacentral:rRNA from 1 species